UACGUAGGGUGCAAGCGUUGUCCGGAAUCAUUGGGCGUAAAGCGCGCGUAGGCGGCCCUGUAAGUCCGCUGUAAAAGUCAAAGGCUCAACCUUUGAAAGCCGGUGGAUACUGCAGGGCUAGAGUCCGGAAGAGGCGAGUGGAAUUCCUGGUGUAGCGGUGGAAUGCGCAGAUAUCAGGAGGAACACCAAUAGCGAAGGCAGCUCGCUGGGACGGUACUGACGCUAAGGCGCGAAAGCGUGGGGAGCGAACAGG
rnacentral:rRNA from 1 species